CUAGGAGAACCGAAAACAGUUCUAGACAGACCUGCGGUUUUAUAGCAGUUUUGGCAGUCAACUUCAGCUUGUGCCUGAGCCCAGACAGUCGGUGACCUGUCCGCCAGCCGGGGCCCCAAGCAGCCUCCCAGGAUGCUUGCAACCCCUCUCCUAAUUAAGUCGUUUUCCCCUGAUGCCAGGAGAGGGGGACCCUGCAGAAAGG
rfam:Procavia capensis cont1.101202, whole genome shotgun sequence.